rnacentral:lncRNA from 1 species
AGGUGGGUAUCAUUCUUAGAUUGUUUUGUACAGUAUCUAGUUUUACAUGUUUUUGGUUGAUACCUCUCGUUGGGAGGUUCAUCAUCGGCCUGGCUAGUGAGCUAGUUUCUUACGCCACUUAUAAUUUGCUAAAUGUAGGUGCAACUUUUGAAAAACCCCAGUACAGAUGAAUUUCGUAAAGUUUUAGAUUCGUGGCUGUUACCAAGAGGCUAAAAGAGGACCUUUGCCUGACGCACUUAUUGACGUAGCGUAUUCAAGCUGACUGUGUAUAAAGUAGUAUAUGCUUUUGUAUUCUUUAGUUAAGUUUUGUUAAAAGGAUUGACAAUGAGGAUGAUCAGGCUUUGGUCCUUGCAUAAGUCUUUCUGGGCCACAAAUAUGCUUAAAUAAAAGAAAUUUUAUCUAUACUUUCAGUUCUUAUCUUCCAGAAAUGGAACUCUGACCAUUUUUGGGGUAUAACUUAAAUAAAAGAAAUUUUAUCUAUACUUUCAAUUCGUAUCUUCCAUAAAUGGAACUCUGAGCCUUUUGGGCUUCUUCCUGGUUAGAUAUAUCCUGUUAUUCUUUUCAGUCAGUAAUGUGUCUUUUUGAC